GGGUAAUCUGGCUGCAACAGCUGUCACACCAAUGAUCACCAGGGUUGAUUCCGGUGAUAUGUCCAGCUAGGCGAGUAUCCCCUUCCUUCCACUGCUCCAUGUGCGUCCCUCCUGCAGCAGAGCACUCAGUGGAAGAGCAUUACCUUCCCCCAUAGAGGGGGACCAUUCUUCAUUCAGGUUAUAGUAGCACCUUGCUCUCCUGCUAGAAUCUCUAAACAAGCUCUCAUAAGAAACAAAUGAUUCUGAGAAAUAGUUACAUUAAAAAAUAAGUUGUUCUACUGCUUAUUAAUGUAUUGCUUU
rnacentral:snRNA from 1 species